UGGGGAAUCUUGGACAAUGGGGGCAACCCUGAUCCAGCCAUGCCGCGCUGAGUGAUGAAGGCCUUAGGGUCGUAAAGCUCUUUCGCCUGUGAAGAUAAUGACGGUAGCAGGUAAAGAAACCCCGGCUAACUCCGUGCCAGCAGCCGCGGUAAUACGGAGGGGGUUAGCGUUGUUCGGAAUUACUGGGCGUAAAGCGCACGUAGGCGGACCAGAAAGUUGGGGGUGAAAUCCCGGGGGCUCAACCCCGGAACUGCCUCCAAAACUAUUGGUCUAGAGUUCGAGAGAGGUGAGUGGAAUUCCAAGUGUAGAGGUGAAAUUCGUAGAUAUUUGGAGGAACACCAGUGGCGAAGGCGGCUCACUGGCUCGAUACUGACGCUGAGGUGCGAAAGUGUGGGGAGCAAACAGGAUUAGAUACCCUGGUAGUCCACACCGUAAAACGAUGAAUGCCAGUCGUCGGGUAGCAUGCUAUUCGGUGACACACCUAACGGAUUAAGCAUUCC
rnacentral:rRNA from 1 species